GCUUGUCGGGUGUUAGUUCCGGGCCCAGCUUGGGCUGGUGGUAGGUCGGGAGAGGGCGCGGUCUCCCAGCCUUUGCGCAGAUUGCGGGGCACCAGGUGGGGCCGAGGCGACGCCGAACGCCGGCAGGCCGGAAACCGCGCAGCCCCGCUGGACCUCGCUGAUUGCCGGCGGCACCGGUGGUUUCGCGACCUUGAACAGGACACCUAACAUGAUGCAGCAGAAUUUCUUCUAGGAAUCUAAAGGGACCAUAUGGAGCAAGUUAUAUUCAAGAAAAACAGGACUGUGAGGCUUAGAGUACCAGAGAGGAGGCAACAACUGCAAGUACAAAAAGUCCCAUUUGGCAAAAGAAAUAUGAAGAGCACAGUGUCCUGCACCAGGCUCCAUUACAGCCUGGAGUAAGGCGAAGUUGUUGGGGAAAUCAGACAGCAGGGAGAAUGGGGCCACUGCAGCCCCUCUGACCUUCUUUCCCUGGACUUUCUCAACAUACUUUCCUGCUCUGCUGUCAUUGCAGCUGCAGGUACUCACUCCAGGGUGGCAGCCAGGGGCUCAGGUGGAGCUGGGCCCCACACCUCUGCACAUUCCCGACCUGAAAACCACUCCAGGCUCCCAGCCUUGACUAUCGGUUCCCUGAGGGUCUUGGACGCUGCCCCAGCACAGGGAUGUCCCUUCUGCCUGGGAACCACCAGAGGCAAGCUCCAAGGAUGUAGUUUGGCACCUUCUUACAAUUAAUUGGUUUUGGACGACUUGGUAAUUUAGAAACUGCUGAGGUGAACCUCCAAUAGAGGAAGUCUGGCAUGGUUCUGUGCCUGACUGUGCCCCGAUUAUGCCUCAAAAUGCCUCUUAAGCCCCUGAUGAUGGGUGUUAGUUUCCUUACAAAGGUGAACAUGCUUCUCAGAAGAUGCUCCUGCCACCUUCUGCAUCAAUAAGCGAAGUUUGGAGGACAAAGUACAGGUUACUUUUGGAACAAUAGGAUCCUCUCUCCCUCUGGCGUUUUGACAGAUUUUCAGAAGUAGAAGGGAAAGACCUAAGACACUAUCCAAACCCAUGGGAUCUAUCACUACCUAUAGGGUGUGACAUGUCACACUAGCUGAGCCACCUGGCCUUAGCUGCAUGUCUGCCAAACAGCCACUUGAAAGCUACCUGUUAGAAAGCAAUGUGCUUGAUACUAGAUACUGCCUGUUAAAUGUGUUACAUGAAUUCUAAAAAAGAUAAAUAAAUAAAUCUUAUUUUUGGUAAAUAUUGUCAGUCUCUAAGACAGAGUAUACUUUAAAUCUUAUACUAUAAUUAUAAAUUUGUCUAUUUCUCCUUAUAGUUCCACCUGUAUUUGAUUUAUGUAUAUUGAAAAUCUGUGGUUGGUUCCACAUAAGAUCUUAACUGUUACGUCUUUUUGGAUAAAUGUUUCUUUUAUCAUUACAAAAUGUUUUUCUUUAUCUCUUUUAGUCUUUUUAAUCUGUAGUACUACCUCUGUUAUUACAUCUGUAGUACUACGUCUGUUAUCACAUCUGUUAUUAUUUGCUUGAUAUUUAUUUUUUAAAAUAUAUCUUUUAUCUCAAAAAAAAAAAAAAAAAAAAAAAAAAAAAAAAAAAAAAAAAAAAAAAAAAA
rnacentral:lncRNA from 1 species